AUUGAACGCUGGCGGCAGGCCUAACACAUGCAAGUCGAACGAGUGGCGGACGGGUGAGUAAUGUCUGGGAAACUGCCUGAUGGAUGGGGCUAACUACUGGAAACGGUAGCUAAUACCGCAUACCAUCAGAUGUGCCCAGAUGGGAUUAGCUUGUUGGUGGGGUAACGGCUCACCACGGCGACGAUCCCUAGCUGGUCUGAGAGGAUGACCAGCCCCACUGGAACGGAGACACGGUCCAGACUCCGAGCUGAGACAGCAUUGCCUAAUGUUGCACAAUGGGCGCAAGCCUGAUUCAGCCAUGCCGCGUGUAUGAAGAAGUCCUUCGGGUUCUAAAGUACUUUCAGCGGGGAGGCGUUACCCGCAGAAGAAGCACCGGCUAACUCCGUGCCAGCAGCCGCGGUAAUUC
rnacentral:rRNA from 1 species